rnacentral:rRNA from 1 species
AUACGUAGGGUACGAGCGUUGUUCGGAUUUAUUGGGCGUAAAGGGUCCGCAGGGGGUCUAUCAAGUCAGAUGUGAAAGCCCAUGGCUCAACCAUGGAACUGCAUUUGAAACUAUUAGACUAGAGUAUUGGAGAGGUAAAUGGAAUUUCUGGUGGAGCGGUGGAAUGCGUAGAUAUCAGAAAGAACACCGAGAGCGAAGGCAAUUUACUGGACAAUUACUGACCCUCAGGGACGAAAGCGUGGGUAGCAAACAGGAUUAGAUACCCCAGUAGUCC